GUGGGGAUGUGGCUCAAGCGGUAGUGCGCUUGCCUGGCAUGCGUGGGGUGCUGAGUUCGAUCCUCAGCACCACA
rnacentral:tRNA from 1 species